GUCUAAUCGGUAAUAAAAUUAUAAAUAAUUUAAUUUUGUUGUUGGUUUGUGGUGGGUCGUGACUUUUAUAACGUGGGUUUACAUCCGACGAUGGAAAAUGUUAUGGAGAACUUGGGGAUUUUCCUAGAAGUAUUUACGAGGUUUCGUAAGGCAAUCACACCUGGAAUUGAUGCCCAACGCCCACCGAUAGUUAAAAAAAAACAGCAGCAAACUUACGAAGCGCGGGAGAGUGAUUUGAAACAUUUUUUAGCAAUGUUUUCGUUUUGGUUAAACAGAACUGAUAUAUUGAUAAAGCAAUAAUUGGAAAGUAACGAGGCUCGUAUCAUACCAUUUCCUGUGUUCACUGAGACGAGACAUAGGUAUAAAGACUAAGAGAGCCGAACAGAAUGAAUGUUUUUGUUACAACUUGUGUCUUUUUACAUAAUGUAUUUUAAUUAACUUUUUAUUAAUAUUAUAGUGCCAAGAUAUAUGUUUGUUUGUUUAUACUAAAAUAAGUUUUCAUUUUCAAAGAGUUUAUUUUGUUUUGUAGUAGAGGUACUGUUUCUUUGGAUAAUACGCUGUUAUAGAAUUUUUAAUUAGUUUUUAGUCUUUCUUUAGGAAACAGAAAAAAGUACAUAUUAAACAAGUAUAUUUCAUGAUGUCUAUUG